rnacentral:rRNA from 1 species
CGGCGUUAAUAUACGACCCGAUUAGCAGCUUCCGGGAAACCAAAGUUUUUCGUUUCCGGGGGAAGUAUGGUUGCAAAGCUGAAACUUAAAGGAAUUGACGGAAGGGCACCACCAGGAGUGGAGCCUGCGGCUUAAUUUGACUCAACACGGGAAAACUCACCCGGCCCGGACACUGUAAGGAUUGACAGACUGAGAGCUCUUUCUUAAUUCAGUGGGUGGUGGUGCAUGGCCGUUCUUAGUUGGUGGAGCGAUUUGUCUGGUUAAUUCCGAUAACGAACGAGACUCUGGCCUAUUAAAUAGACGAGGUAUUUACGUGUAUCUCGCGCUUCUUAGAGGGACAAGCGGCGUCUAGUCGCAUGAAAAAGAGCAAUAACAGGUCUGUGAUGCCCUUAGAUGUCCGGGGCUGCACGCGCGCUACACUGAAAGAAUCAGCGUGCAUUUAAACCUAGUCCGGAAGGACCGGGUAACCCAAGUAAAUUCUUUCGUGCUUGGGAUAGGGAAUUGCAAUUAUUUCCCUUAAACGAGGAAUUCCCAGUAAAUGCGGGUCAUAAGCUCGCGUUGAUUACGUC